AUGGGAUUCUCCUACUCAGGGGCGGAUCCAACCACAGGCUUGGUAGGGCUCAAGCCCUACCGGACUUUUUGGGCCCAAAAAAAAAAUUAGGUAUAUACAUAUGUUUUUUUUUUUUUUUGUACCAGUCAUCUCGUUUCAAGCCCUACAGGCUACAGCCGCGACUUGCCGUCUUGCCGACUUGGACUCUCGGACUCUUGGAGGCUGGCCGCUGGAGCACAGAGGCGCAGAGGCGGCAGAGCAAUCUGACUCACUCAGCGACCCGGGUCACCCGGCGAUCUGCAAAAGUGCAAGGCUGGAAGCCUGGAACCAGCAACUGAGCAACCCAUCUCCGGUAAUCCGGUCUCCGAGGCUCCGAGAUCCCCACCGCGGCACCGCCACGGCGCCUCCAGCCCACCACUCCACCAGCAACCCCUCUGGUUGUCUCCGUCACUCCGUGGACCGUGAUUUGCAGAAAUUCCCAGAUUUGCAGAAAUGAUAUAAUUGCAGAAAUUGCAGAAAUUGCAGAUUUGCAGAAAUGAUAUAAUUGCACAAACGAAUUGAUGAGUUGAUGUUGAUUACUUGAUUUUAAUAAAGGUAAUGAUACUGAUUGAGUGAUUGGGUAGUUAUAUAAUUGCUAAAUUGCAGAUUUGCAGAAAUUCCCAGAUUUGCAGAAAUGAUAUAAUUGCAGAAAUUGCAGAUUUGGUAUAAUUGCAAAAAUUGCAGAUUUGCAGAAAUGAUAUAAUUGCAGAAACGAAUUGAUGAGUUGAUGUUGAUUACGAAUUGUUGAGUUGAUGUUGAUUACUUGAUUUUUCCCUAUGCUUCAUAGAUUGAUUUGUUUGAUUUUGACCAUUCCUGUUUCUACGGCAACCAUUGAAAGAGCAUUUUCAGCUAUAAACAUUGUUAAAAAUAAACUCAGAAACAAAAUGGAAGAUGAGUUUCUUGGUGAUUGUAUGGUCCUUCACAUUGAGAAAGAGUAUGCUGAAUCUAUUGACAAUGAUGAGGUGAUAAAAGAGUUUGAAGCUUCAUGUACUCGUAGAGUUAGAUUUAGUUAGGUUAUGCUCUUGUAUUAUAUUGCAUUGCACGUUUAUUUGAUUAUUGAGUUUGUUUUUUAAUUUUGUAUAUGCAUUAGAGGGGUAAGGCUCAUUAUGUCCCCCCUGACUAGGUGUAUCAUUUUUUCAAUUAAUAAAAUUCUCUCGCACCGUCGAGAUUCUCUA